GACUCCGUAGUUGAAGGAAUAGAAGCGCCCGUCUAGCGAAUUGGGAGUCGUGAGUUCGAGUCUCACCGGAGUAG
rnacentral:tRNA from 1 species